rnacentral:rRNA from 1 species
GACGAACGCUGGCGGCGUGCUUAACACAUGCAAGUCGAACGGUAAGGCCCUUCGGGGUACACGAGUGGCGAACGGGUGAGUAACACGUGGGUGAUCUGCCCUGCACUUCGGGAUAAGCCUGGGAAACUGGGUCUAAUACCGGAUAGGACUCCGGACUGCAUGGUCUGGGGUGGAAAGCUUUUGCGGUGGGGGAUGGGCCCGGGGCCUAUCAGCUUGUUGGUGGGGUGAUGGCCUACCAAGGCGACGACGGGUAGCCGGCCUGAGAGGGGGACCGGCCACACUGGGACUGAGAUACGGCCCAGACUCCUCCGGGAGGCAGCAGUGGGGAAUAUUGCACAAUGGGCGCAAGCCUGAUGCAGCGACGCCGCGUGAGGGAUGACGGCCUUCGGGUUGUAAACCUCUUUCAGCAUCGACGAAGCGAAAGUGACGGUAGGUGCAGAAGAAGGACCGGCCAACUACGUGCCAGCCGCCGCCGUAA